GACGAACGCUGGCGGCGUGCCUAAUACAUGCAAGUAGAACGCUGAAGGAGGAGCUUGCUCUUCUGGAUGAGUUGCGAACGGGUGAGUAACGCGUAGGUAACCUGCCUGGUAGCGGGGGAUAACUAUUGGAAACGAUAGCUAAUACCGCAUAAUAGUAGAUGUUGCAUGACAUUUGCUUAAAAGGUGCAAUUGCACCACUACCAGAUGGACCUGCGUUGUAUUAGCUAGUUGGUGGGGUAACGGCUCACCAAGGCGACGAUACAUAGCCGACCUGAGAGGGUGAUCGGCCACACUGGGACUGAGACACGGCCCAGACUCCUACGGGAGGCAGCAGUAGGGAAUCUUCGGCAAUGGACGGAAGUCUGACCGAGCAACGCCGCGUGAGUGAAGAAGGUUUUCGGAUCGUAAAGCUCUGUUGUAAGAGAAGAACGAGUGUGAGAGUGGAAAGUUCACACUGUGACGGUAUCU
rnacentral:rRNA from 1 species